ensembl:lncRNA
GUCUUUGUGGGAGCGGCUGUUGUCCACCAGAAUCGUUCCAAAUAUAUUAAAAGUAGGUUAACUUACUGUGCUUCCUGCAUUUAUUCUUGCAGCUGAAAUUUCCCUGACUUUUUUUUUCUUUUCAUUUUAUUAGGUUAAUAAAACUCGGUUUUCGAGCAUUUCGCUGCCCCAGGAGGGCAGCGGGCCCCCUGUCCAAUUCAUCAACUGCCUAAUGAGCGGCCCCGGAGGUCCCAGCCCGUCCAUUCCAGAAGCUCUCUCUGCCUUGUAAAGGCUCUCUUGCCUUCGCCAGCUUGUCAGGACACUGCCAGCUCCGGGCAUGGGGCCGCGUCAGUCCCGACACGGUGGGAGAGCUGGAAUCGGAGCACACGAGCUCGGGGACACCACAGCCGCCCACCUUGAGCCCAGAGGAGAAGGAGCACGGAAGGGAGGUUACGGUCACCAUGGCUGCAGUACAAGGAAAAGUGGAAAAGCUGUCUUGGACCUUCUUACCACCCACCUGGCCCUGAUGCCAGUUCACAGACCUCAUCCAAACAAGUAGCUGGGAUUUGGGGACUUCUUAUAACACCUGGUAUGUGGGGACUUCUUAUAACACCUGGUAUGUGGGCAGUAGUGAGGCAGUCUGUCCCUUUCUGCAGGCUCUGUGCACUUGUUGGGGGCGGGGAGUCGUCUGAGGGUCUCUGAGGUCAGGGGGAGCAUGCAUAGAGACAGACAUCAGCCAGCACCUCCGCUCUCCUACACAGGGAAGACAGCCAUGCCAUGGCUGUCAGCAGUGACAUCAGAGUGUCCACGUGCCCUGGAAUGUGUGUCCCAGCUGUGUACAUCCUCCUGGUCCCUGUCGGCCAUGGCUUGGUAGCUCAGAGUCCACAAUGGGGGCCACAGCAGCUGUUCUGCUGGGGCUUGGAGGGAGUGGGCCCGGCUCGCACCCACCCCUUGAAGCCCCUCAACCCAGGACUGGCCUUUCUCAGUUUCCCGUUUCAUCUCCAGACUCCUAGAGCUGGGCUCGGGUGCAGGAUUUCCCAACCAGGGGCGGUUACCGGGCACUCGACCGAUCUCCUGAAAUACACUUUGAAGGGUUUUUGUUGUGUUUUGUUUUGUUUUCCCUACUUGCCACCCUUGAAUGAAGCAGACUGUUUGCCUUCCUGCAGAAAGAUUUGCCGUUACCCUGUGCACUUGCGAGAGGACCACGGCCCAGCGCACGGAGCUAGUGAUUUUGCCAACUUCCUGGAUGUUCAUUUCUGGUUCUGCACAAAAGAGCCACAUUUCCUUUUGGAACCGGGACCGGGAGACGGACGGCAGCAGGCACUGGAAAUUGUGAGUACUCCCCGGUCUUCCUCCAGCGACGCUCUGACCCUGUCCGUCUGUCCGUCCUGCCUCCCGUGGCUUUCUCUACCACUUCACCUUCGGUGGGGCUCCUCCGUGAACCCCUCUGUUAGCCUGCAGCACCAGGCCGGCUUUUAGGAAAGGAGCCUCUAGAUGUCUGUACAAACCUGGGACGGGCAGGGGAGGGGGAGUGAGCUCACCAACUGCAUUGACUCCAGUUUUCAUUUUAAGGCUCCGAAAGAUGGCGAAAGUCAACAGAAGCAGACUGGUUUAUUUCAGGGCGAACAGUGAGUCCCUCCUGAAUUUACCUAAUAAAAUGAAUUUUAAAAUUUUCAUUUUCUCAUUCCAUUCCAGCAGAAAAUGAGUUUGCCUUUAUAAUGUCCAGAUCUUUCGAACUCUACUGAGUGAGAAAUUAAGUUACAAAAUGUAAAUACUUUGGUUAUACCCACAUACAUAUACGUGAAAUGAAUAUAUGUAUGAAAUGAAGUAAUUCCUGAGUGUAAUGCAAUAGCAAGCCUGACUUUAGGCUCCUAGGACACUUAAAAAAAUUUUAUGAUGUGUAAUAAAGAAAAAUAAGGUUCAGUAGAAAUGUUUCUCUUUAAAAAUGGGUG